rnacentral:rRNA from 1 species
GACGAACGCUGGCGGCGUGCUUAACACAUGCAAGUCGAACGAAGUGGCGAACGGGUGAGUAAUACGUGGGUAACCUGCCCUCCUUUUUGGGAUAAGCCAUGGAAACGGGGUCUAAUACCGUAUAAUGGGGGUUGGUCUCGCGGCCUAUCAGCUUGUUGGUGGGCUGGUGGCCUAACAAGGCGGUGACGUGUAGCCGGCCUGAGAGGGUAACCGGCCACGUUGGGACUGAGAUACGGCCCAGGCGCCUACGGGAGGCAGAAGUGGGGGAGAUUGCACAAUGGGUGAAAGCCUGAUGCAGCGACGCCGCGUUGGGGAUGAAGGCUUUCGGGUUGUGAACCUCUUUCGCUAGCGAACGGGUAUGUGGAGAAGAAGCGCCGGCUAACUACGUGCCAGCCGCCGCGGUAAUAC